AUGUUUCCACUACAGAUACGAGAAAAAAGUCUCUUCACACUUUCUGUCUGUCUGAUUGUAGCAGCCUGAGAUUGAAUAGAGGAAUACAGGG
rnacentral:snoRNA from 1 species